CAUUCUGCCCAGACCCAGAGGCCUUCCUCAGAUACAGGGCACCCCCAUGACAGUGCAUUGUCUGCACCAAGAAGCUUGAUUUGUCCAGUGCAGCCAGCAUAUGCAUCUAUGAUAACCUCCACCCAUUUGCCACAGUUGCAAUGUAGGGAUGAGGGUGCUGGCAAAGAACAGCACAUAAUACCAUCUUCGGUCAUGCACCAGCCUUUUCAAGUUACACCAACAUCUCCUAUGGGGUCUUCCUAUCAGUCUAUACAAACUAAUAUGUAUAAUGGUCCAACUUGUCUUCCUAUGAAUCCUGCCUCUAGUCAAGAAUUUGAUCCAGUUUUGUUUCAGCAGGAUGCAGCUCUUUCUAAUUUAGUAAAUCUUGGCUGUCAACCACUGUCACCAAUACCAUUUCAUUCUUCAAAUUCAGAUGCAACAGGACAUCUUUUAGCUCAUUCACCUCAUUCUGUGCAAACCCCACCUCAUCUGCAGUCAAUGGGAUACCAUUGUUCAAGUGCAGGACAAAGAUCUCUUUCUUCUCCAGUAGCAGCCCAGGUCACAGGUCAGCCUUCUUCCCAUUUACAGCCUAUCACAUAUUGUCCUUCACAUCCAGGGUCUGCUACAGCAGCUUCCCCAGCAGCCUCUCAUGCUCUUUCUAGUUCACCGAUUUCUGGGCCACCGUCCCCUCAGCUGCAGUCUAUGCCUUACCAAUCUCCUAGCUCAGGAACUGCCUCAUCACCAUCUCCAGUUACCAGAAUGCAUUCUGGACAGCACUCAACUCAAGCACAAAGUACAGGGCAAGGAGGUCUUUCUGUACCUUCAUCCUUAGUUUGUCACAGUUUGUGUGACCCAGCAUCGUUUCCACCUGGUGGUGCAGCUGUGAGCAUUAAACCUGAACCUGAAGAUCAAGAACCUAACUUUGCAACCAUUGGUCUACAGGAUAUCACUUUAGAUGAUGUGAACGAGAUUAUUGGAAGAGACAUGUCCCAGAUUACUGUUUCCCAAGGCCCAGAGGUGAUCAGAGAUGCCCCUCUCCCAGGUCCGGAGUCUCCAGAUGUUAUGAGCUCUAACAGUGCUCAGUGAAGCUUUGUGCCCACCACCAACUGCUCUGACUGCUUCUCUC
rnacentral:lncRNA from 1 species